rnacentral:tRNA from 1 species
GGGGUUGUGGCUCAGUGGUAGAGCACUUGCCUCACAUGUAUGAGGCCCUGGGUUCCAUUCUCAGCACCACA